GUGCUGGUUUCGGCAGCAUAUAUACUAAAAUUGGAAUGAUGUGGAGAUUAGCAUGGUCCCUGUGCAAGGAUGACAUGCAAAUUCGUGAAGCGUUCCAUAUUUUU